rnacentral:rRNA from 1 species
ACGGGAGGCAGCAGUAGGGAAUAUUGGUCAAUGGGGGAAACCCUGACGGAGCGACGCCGCGUGGACGAUGAAGGCCGGAAGGUUGUAAAGCCCUUUUAUGGCAGAGGAAUAAGCGGGGGAGUGGAAAGCCCUUGCGAUGACUGUAGGCCAUGAAUAAGCACCGGCUAAUUACGUGCCAGCAGCCGCGGUAACACGUAAGGUGCGAGCGUUGUUCGGAAUCAUUGGGCGUAAAGGGCAUGUAGGCGGUCUGUCAAGCCAGGCGUGAAAGCCAGGGGCUCAACCCCUGAACUGCGCUUGGAACUGGCGGACUGGAGUCGCUGAGGGGGAACCGGAAUUCCUGGUGUAGGGGUGAAAUCUAUAGAUAUCAGGAAGAACACCGAUGGCGAAGGCAGGUUUCCGGCAGACGACUGACGCUGAGGUGCGAAGGUGCGGGGAGCAAACAGGAUUAGAUACCCUGGUA